UCCGUAGGCGGGCAAUUAAGUCAGAGGUGAAAUCCCACAGCUCAACUGUGGCACUGCCUUUGAUACUGGUUGUCUUGAGUUACAGUGAAGUAGAUAGAAUAUGUAGUGUAGCGGUGAAAUGCAUAGAUAUUACAUAGAAUACCGAUUGCGAAGGCAGUCUACUAACUGUAUACUGACGCUAAUGGACGAAAGCGUGGGGAGCGAACAGGAUUAGAUACCCUGGUAGUCC
rnacentral:rRNA from 1 species